rnacentral:sRNA from 1 species
AGAAGGCUUUAUCAUAGGUCCUAGGACAAACUAGAAAUGAUGAAAUAGUAAAGAAAAAGAUAUAUAAAAUCUUACAGAAACUGGAACUGAGUCCUAAUGCAACUUCAUUUCUAUUCGAUUAAGGCAAUAGCUGUCCAAUCUGGAACUUAUUUCUUACAGGUUGUCUGCAUUCAAAAGAGCAUUCUAUUAAAGCUACCUUAAUUUGGCGCUUAUUUUUCUUAAUCAUGUUUCUGACAAUCAUAGUGUGUGGAAUGGUUGCUGCUUUAAGCGGUAAGUGAACUGUAAUC